UUAUAGUCCAGGGCUACACACGUGCUACAAUGGCCGGUACAAAGGGUCGCAAUACCGCAAGGUGGAGCUAAUCCCAAAAAGCCGGUCUCAGUUCGGAUUGGAGUCUGCAACUCGACUCCAUGAAGUCGGAAUCGCUAGUAAUCGCGUAUCAGCAUGACGCGGUGAAUACGUUCCCGGGCCUU
rnacentral:rRNA from 1 species